GGGGUUGUGGCUCAGUGGUAGAGCACUCGCCUAGCAUGUGCGGGGCCUGGGUUCGAUCCUCAGCACCA
rnacentral:tRNA from 1 species